UUACUUUUUAUAUUAAGAAAUUAAUGUGAAAUUAAUGUUUUUCGUUAGCUUAGUAGAAUUUAAACUGAACGAUGAUAUUUGCGGAAUACGGAUUCAUAGAAAUAUAUAAUAAUAAUUUAACUUAAGUUAUAUGAAACAGCUAAUCUAAUUUUUACUUGGAUUUUGAUGGAAAAAAUUGAGAAUGAAGCUCUCCAUCAAAGGAUACAGGUGCUGAACUUACAGUCGAAGGGAUGGCAAGAGCUCUGGCAAGAGAUUCCAAGGCUUAUUCCAGGUUCUGAGGAACAUACUAAAUAUGAAACAUUGGUACCUAUGCCUGGAAGUGUAGCUGAUUAGUUCAAGAUGUUUUAUUAUCAACAAUUCAUCUGGAUGGGAUUGGUAUACGGUGCCCUAUAAGUUGGUGCUUGGUGCCUUAAGUUGGUGGCUAGAAAUCAGUAUCGAGUUACAGCAGUGAAGUUUUAAAGGAAUCCUUGAUUAAUGCAACUAGGAGCUUCUAUCUACAUCUGACUGAUCCAGGUCCACUACGUGCAUGUUUUAUAUAUACCUUGUAUAUUGUAUUUAUUUUAUAUUUGUACAUUGUAUAGUAUAAAUAAAUUUCGAAUUAGU